rnacentral:lncRNA from 1 species
UACUCAUCGACUGCUGGCUCAAUUGACUGACACCAAAGGGCUUCGCCCUUCAAGAGAUCCAGGGUUCAAAUCUCAGGUAUUACUCAAAAAUCAUUCAUAAAGUGAACCGAAGACGGUGUUUUCCUUGUAGAGCAGGGUUUAGCGUCUGCCUUAAAUUCAUUGAAUAUGCUAGCAUACAGAACCAUAAAGAAAUGCAAAGAACAA